UGAACUUAAGCAUAUCAAUAAGCGGAGGAAAAGAAACUAACCAGGAUUCCCCUAGUAACUGCGAGUGAAGCGGGAAGAGCUCAAAUUUAAAAUCUGGUGGCUCCGCCGCCCGAGUUGUAGUCUGGAGAAGUGUUAUCCGCGUCGGACCGUGUACAAGUCUCCUGGAAUGGAGCGUCAUAGAGGGUGAGAAUCCCGUCCAUGACACGGACCUCCGAUGCUUUGUGAGGCACUCUCAAAGAGUCGAGUUGUUUGGGAAUGCAGCUCAAAAUGGGUGGUAAAUUCCAUCUAAAGCUAAAUAUUGGCGAGAGACCGAUAGCGAACAAGUACCGUGAGGGAAAGAUGAAAAGCACUUUGGAAAGAGAGUUAAACAGUACGUGAAAUUGUUGAAAGGGAAACGCUUGAAGUCAGUCCGCGUCCCGUGGAACUCAGCCUGGCUUCGGCCUGGUGUACUUUCCAUGGGACGGGUCAACAUCAAUUUCAGCCGGUGGAAAAGGGCGAGGGGAAUGUAGCGUCGUCUCGGCGGCGUGUUAUAGCCUCUUGUCGUAUACACUGGCCGGGAUUGAGGACCGCAGCACGCCCUUGUGGCCGGGGUUCGCCCACGUAACGUGCUUAGGAUGUUGGCAUAAUGGCUUUAAGCGACCCGUCUUGAAACACGGACCAAGGAGUCUAACAUGCUUGCGAGUGUUCGGGUGAAAAACCCUUGCGCGUAAUGAAAGUGAAAAGUUGGGAGCCUCCGCAAGGGGGUGCACCGACGCCCGGCCCUGACGUUCUCUGACGGUGCUGCGGUAGAGCAGGUAUGUUGGGACCCGAAAGAUGGUGAACUAUGCCUGAAUAGGGCGAAGCCAGAGGAAACUCUGGUGGAGGCUCGUAGCGAUUCUGACGUGCAAAUCGAUCGUCAAAUUUGGGUAUAGGGGCGAAAGACUAAUC
rnacentral:rRNA from 1 species